ACAACAUUUUGACCGUCGGCCUACCGAGCCUAAUCAGCCGCUCGGUGGAAGAUCUUCCAUUUGUCGU
rnacentral:pre_miRNA from 1 species